GGAACACUUUCUGGCAGGAAGAAGUACCUACGGCGCAGGCGCAGAAGGCUGAUUUCACAGGCGCAGUUGGCGCGAUGAGAGAUGACAGAUGUUUUCUCCGGAUGGGCAUGAACCAUUGAUUUGAUAUGAAUCAGACAUGCUGGUCUCGUAAAGUAUUUUGAGAAGACCUUGGCUGUGAAUUGGUAGAUUCUCACAUCCUUCAAUUUAUCAAUGAAGAAAACACACCCGGACCUUGCUCUCCCUAACAGCAUCACGAUAGGAUGUGCCAGUAUAACCUGCAGAAGUCCAGGAAGCAUCCUGAUCAGAUGGACCAACUCAGAUGACCUCUUCUGAUCUGAAGGAACAGCAGCUCUACCUCAAGCUCUGCUUCAGUGAUGGUGCUCCUCAUCUUAUCUCUAAGGCAGAGCCUGGCCAGAAGAAGCUCAUUUCAGCUGCUUGUAUCCAGGAUCUGGUUCUUGCAGCCAUGAAUCAUAUCACUGAACCAUAAGUGAGGGUUGGAACAUAGAGCAGUACAUCCAGAGUUUUAAAUUUCAGCUCCAAUCCUUCUUCUUAAAACUGAAGCAACACCUUAAAUACUGCAGACAAAGCUCUUUUCCAUCUAUCAUCUCCUGCUGCAUCCUCACAUCACUCAGGAACAAGAAGACACUAGUACUCGCAUUAGUCCAACCUGGAGAGUUUGGACCAAAGUAUUCUAGAGACAGAUGAGACAUCUGUCCACCAGGUGAAGCUUGGUCCAAACUGGGCCAUACAGGACAAUGAUCCAAACAGAAAUCUACAACCGAAUGGCUGAAAAAGAUAAGAAUCAAGGUUCUGCAAUGGUCCAGUCAAAGUCCAGACAUUUGUCUGGUUGAAAUGCUGUGGUGAGACCUUCAGAGAGCUGAGCAAGAACCUCAAAAAACUGAGGUCCACAGUCAACAAUGUGAGAGACUGAAAAGAGCAGUCAUAAACUCACUGUUGCUGAAGGAUGUUCUACAAGAUGCUGGAGAAGGUUCAACAGGCUGCUGGAUCAAUGUGUGGACUCCUGUGUUUUUCCAUCGCUGUCUCUCUGUUUUGGUUUAGUUUUUUGUAAUUGAAUGUGUAAUGUCUCAUUGUUUGAUGUUUGCUCAUGUGAUUUUGUGUUCUUGCCUCAUCACAUGUGAAACUGAAAGACAUGAUGUUCAUCAUCAUUCAGUCUGGAUUGAUGAGAACGUUUCUUCUGUGGAAUUAAAUCAACACUCAGCUCACGAUGAGUUUUAUAGA